rnacentral:rRNA from 1 species
AUGGCCGGUUCGGGCGGAGCCUUAGAAGGCCCAGCACCAUCGCGACCUCGGGCGCCAUGUCCAAGACGUGGUCCGCGGCGACGGAAACCGUUCCGGUGGCCUCUGAACCGGCGCAGAUCACGGGCGUGGCGGUUGUGGCGGCGAAGUCCACCAACACCAUGGCGACGACGACGGCCCUGUCGGCGUCUACCGCCGCUACGAACAAGGUGCAGGAAGAAGGACAGGAGACCACAAGGGGGAAUCGGCGCUUAUGAGAAGAUGCGCCUGUUCGAGGGGAUGCGAGGAGCGGAUGCGACGGUUGCCUGGAGAGGUUCCCGCACAAACGAGGCGGCGGUUGCCUCGAGAGGAUCCCGUGCAUGCUGUUAUUUACAACAAGGAUUAUCUCUAAUAAUUAAAUCCUAA